rnacentral:rRNA from 1 species
GGGCCCGCACAAGCGGUGGAGCAUGUGGUUUAAUUCGAUGCAACGCGAAGAACCUUACCAGGGCUUGACAUACUACAGAUUCUUUUGAGAAAGAGAAGUGCCUUCGGGAAUGUAGAUACAGGUGGUGCAUGGCUGUCGUCAGCUCGUGUCGUGAGAUGUUGGGUUAAGUCCCGCAACGAGCGCAACCCUUAUUUUUAGUUACCAAUUCGUUGGGUUUUUUAGAAAGACUGCCGGUGACAAACCGGAGGAAGGUGAGGAUGACGUCAAGUCAGCAUGCCCCUUAUGUCCUGGGCUACACACGUGCUACAAUGGUUAAGACAAAGAGUUGCGAGCUCGUGAGAGUAAGCUAAUCUAUUAAACUUAGCCUAAGUUCAGAUUGUAGGCUGCAACUCGCCUGCAUGAAGUUGGAAUCGCUAG